rnacentral:rRNA from 1 species
UACGUAGGGGGCAAGCGUUGCUCGGAAUUACUGGGCGUAAAGGGCGCGUAGGCGGCACGGCAAGUCGGGAGUGAAAGGCCUGGGCUCAACCGAGGAACUGCUUUCGAGACUGCCGAGCUAGAGUGCGGAAGGGGCAACUGGAAUUCCCAGUGUAGCGGUGAAAUGCGUAGAUAUCGGAAGGAACGCCGGUGGCGAAAGCGACUGUCUGGGGUGCCUGUGACGCUGAGGCGCGAAAGCCAGGGGAUCAAACGGG